rnacentral:pre_miRNA from 1 species
UGUGUACUCCCUCCGUUCCAAAAUACUUGACUUCCAUUUGUCCAAAAAUGGAUGUACCUAUAUACUAAGACAUGUCUAGAUACAUAUAUAUAUUUUGACAAAUAGAAGGCAUGUAUUGUGCAACGGAGGGAGUAGAAU